AACUCUUGGUGAGGACAUUUCCUAAGAAAAUCCUUAUACCUUUCCCAAGCCUCAUACUGUAAUUUAGAAUUGAAUUAUGUAAAAGAAGUGAUAUCAUUCUACAUCUU
rnacentral:snoRNA from 1 species